rnacentral:rRNA from 1 species
UACGGAGGGUGCAAGCGUUAUCCGGAUUUACUGGGUUUAAAGGGUGUGUAGGCGGGUCUUUAAGUCAGUGGUGAAAUCUCCGAGCUUAACUUGGAAACUGCCAUUGAUACUAUUGAUCUUGAAUUUUGUUGAGGUGGGCGGAAUAUGUCAUGUAGCGGUGAAAUGCAUAGAUAUGUCACAGAACACCAAUUGCGAAGGCAGCUUACUAAGCUAUGAUUGACGCUGAGGCACGAAAGCGUGGGGAUCAAACAGG